CAAAGUGUGAACAGCUGACUGAAUUUAUUAGGAGACCCAAAGUUGGGUGAAACCAGUGGAGCCUGUUAGAUCAUUAAUCAGAGGGAGUAAUCACUGGGCUACUGCAAAAAUGGCACCUGUGGGACACCAAUCACAAAGAUACUGCAAGACUUCAUGGGCUGCAAAGGGGCAUGGAGUUGAUUUCGCUUUCGUCUUUACAUGUACAGAAGGGGUUAUCAUCUCUGUCGCUACGAUGCGAGGAGGCACAGAAAUGGAAGGAGAACAAGCAACCAAUAAACCCAAAACCAGCAGCAUUAUCCAGCAGAUGUUAAACAUGAUCUUAAAGAGUUUGCAGCUGAGGAUCCCUCAGGAUGUGCAGGCAGGCCAGAUUCAUUUAUCCUCAACUCUAUUUCCUUGUACAAGGAACAAAUGCCUUGGGUUUGUUUGCUGCAUACAGCCAAACUCCGGUGUUUGUUUUGUCUUCAUUUGCUGCUGUACAGAAUUGAACUGCUUUAGAGACUAUGUAUGUGUAUAAAGAUAUUUUUUAUGAAUAAAAUAU